rnacentral:lncRNA from 1 species
UAUGCUGCAGAGAAACCCUCAGCCCCAAACUAUUACUGUCAGAAAUAGUAAGAAAUAGCCCAGAAACAAUUCUUUUUUCUUUCUGUUUAAAGUUUUGAAGAUGGUGUCAGACACAAACAUAAAUUCCCAUCCCAGGGCCUAGGCAGUACAGACACUUCUCUUUUCUAACACAAACCCCUUUCCAAACUAGGAAAAAAGAUAGAACCAGUAUCAAGGAAGGAGAGACCACAGGAUAACACUGUGUAAGCACCUAGGGUAUCAGUUUGACCCUAGAGUUUGCAAAGGAAGAGUUAUGAGUGUGUUCAAACAACUACAAACAGCAGAAAAUGCAAAUAUCCUGUGAAUGUCUAGGCUAAAAUCAACAGAUUGCAGGGAAAAUUAACACGACCACCUCCCAGAUCCCAGAGUUCCCUGAAGGAACAUGACAGGACAUUUGUAAAGACUGGAACUACAAGAAGUCAAGAGAGGAGUUCUCUGUGUUUAUUUUCUCAUUUCCUUUCUCUCUCUCCUUACCCAUCUCUUAUCCCAGUGAAAGAGAAGUCUAGGAGAACAGUUUGCUACAAUGCUGACUAGAAUUGCUACUUUGGAAGAUCUAAAAAGAUAUCAGAAACUUGGUGGCUUCAUCUAUCAGACAACAACUCCUAACACUGAGUUCUGUUUCCCUCUUAAGAUAUUUAUGCUAAACGGACUAGGUCUUCCCAAGAGUGAAUUGAGGUCCCCCUCAAAAUGGUAACUCCUCUGGAACACCUCAGACACUUAUUAGAUAAAUCAAGCACUACAGUUCCUGCAGAACUGUCUUUCAGCAGAGGAAUCCUAUGCUACCUACUUUCUUCACUACCCUCCUUCCUUAAGGCAUAGCGAUGCUACAGGGACUCACAAACAAGGGUCAGAAUCUGUAAGAGUCUAGUCCUUCCUGCCUCUCUUUAACAUAAAUGCUCUUCCCUCCUAUAUUUACACACACACACACACACACACACACACACACACAAACCCCAAGUACCCUCAAGCCUAUAGAAAUUUCCAGGUGCCCAAAAAAAGUCACUGUGACUCUGAGGGGUUUUAUUGCCUGGGGCUCCAAGAAGAUAACACUCAUCCUGGUGGUCUCUCAAUUGCUGUCCCAACAAAUCAUAAGCACCAAAUCCUCCAUUCCCUCCGAAUUUGAAUUUGUGGUUUUAACCUUUAAUAGCCUUUUCGGGUAAAAUAACAAAGACGAACGAAUUUACUGACUUUGUAGCUACACUGUUCUUGAAAAGGCUUUUUUUUUUUUAAGAAAAAAAAAAAAGGCCAGAAGGAAGAAGAAGAGAAGGGGUAUAUGGUAUAUUCUCAUCAGGUGGUGCACACUCUGAUGAAAUCAAACAAAAGGCUAUAGAGGAUUGAAGAGGGAGAGCCAACUUGCCCCAUCCUUUCAUGGCGCUGUAGCUCAAAGACUGGAAUCUGCUUGUUAACCAUUGUUAACUAGUAUUUUUAGUCCCAGUUGCUUUUAGCCUCUGUAUAGUUCCUUUUUUAAACACAUUUUCUAUACGUUAAUAAAAGAUCCUGAAGG